rnacentral:lncRNA from 1 species
CCUGGCUGUGAGGGCAUCUGAGCUUCCUCCUCAGGCCUCUGGAAUGCACACAUUAUGCACCUCUGGGAUAGUGGAAGAAACAUCCUGGGUGUUUUGAAGAUAAGGGUAAGUGGGUUGAGGCUACCCGGAGUGCCCUAGGCACCAGGCCCUCUCCUGUCACCCAGGAACCAGCCACAACUGCUCUCCUUCCCAACUCACCUCCAACUUGCAGCUUGUUCUGUGAGCCACUCUGAGUUGGUGCUUUACUUGCCUCUAGGUCCCUCUUGGCCCAAGAGAAUGCACCAAGAUGCAUGCAAGGUCUCAAUGUGUGCUUCCAGUGCUUCUGCCAGCCUUGCCCAGGUUCCCCAGGAUUGGGAUCACAGCUGUUCCCUCAUCUAACUGCCCAGUGCACUUGGCUUGAGCAGUGGUAGAAGGGUAGGUUCCAGCGCAUAAGAAGUGAGUUCAGCACCCAGGGGCCUGUCAGGGUGGUGAGAUGGGCCAGAAGAGGAGCCACUGGCUAGGGCUGCGCUCACGCUGUGUGCUGUCCUCUGCCCCAUCCUCACGGCUCCCAGGUGCCUGCCUCACCACUGCAUGGGAGCUGGGACAGCAGGCAUGCUCAGGGCUGGACCUCAGGCAAGCUUCUUGUCCUUCCAGCAUGUGCCUUCCACUCAGCUCUUCUCUACCCAGCAAGUCCUUCAGGGGCCCAAAGAGCCUCCUAAUCAUUUGUUUGAGAGCUGACCCUGGCAGGAGCUCAGGCUCCAAUCCUGGAGUGUGCACUCCAGGUCGGUGCCGCUCCCCCCACCCCCCUGCCGGCCUGCGCGGGCAGCUGAACUUAAGAUUGCUCAUGUGGGGCUGGGGAUGUGGCUCGAGCGGUGGCGCGCUUGCCUGGCAU